GGGAGCUUAGAUGUGGAAGCUCUUUGGAAACCAAGAAACACUCUGCAAAUGAAAAGGAUACCAACUUCAUCUCUCUUUAAGAAUACAAUAUUAGUUUAAAAGAUUGUUCAACUUAAAGCAAUCUUGUAGAGAUUGUCACCCAUGAUUGAUGCUGGGUGGAAGAGUAAACUGUUCCUGUUUCUCCAUCUUGACAGGAAGCAGAAGUUCUCCUUAGCUGAUUUUUCUUCUUGCCUUAUACUGGGUUCUUUAACACCAGAACAAAAAUAAAUAAAUAAAAGAAUCUUCCAGAAAUUCAUGAAGAGACUUCAGGUCAGGAAAGCCUGAACUUUCUCAUCCAACACCUGUUCAAGUCGGAGGAUGCUGAUUAAUUCAUGAUGGAAAGGUAUCAAUUUCACAGCCCAGACCUCUACAUUCUUGAAAUGCUCUUCUCAUGGGAGACAUUAAAUAAGCUUUGAAUUAACUGAAUGUACAGGGUGUACCAUGAACAAUUCUGACAUGUGAUUUAAUCUAUGUGUGACUACAUUUUAAAUACAUUUGGGAAGGAUUGAACAAUGAAGUGGAGCCCAUCAAUAUUGGUACUGAAAAUGAGACAUGCCAUGACACCCAGGAUGCAGCUGUAGGAACACCACUGGGUCCCUGGAUGUCAUGUAAGCCCUUAAGUAAAAGUGCCAUCAAAUGAUUUCUCAGAAAUUAUAAAGAAACAAAAGGACCAUAAACAAGAUAAGGUGGCAUGAGGAAACAUUACAAGUACCUUUCAGAGCUGACUGGCAAAGAAACUCCUGAGGUGAUGGUUCUACCCCAAUAUUACUUCUUCCAAGAGCAACCUAACUGACCUUGUAUUGAAGACAGCGUAACCCCCAAGAGGAAAGGAGCUUGGAGCCCUGAAUCAGAGUAGAAGACAGGCUGAAUGAAUACCAGCCUUGGACUGUUAUGUGAAUGAAAAACAAGUUUUGAGAUUUGUGUGGUUUAUUUAUUAUAGUUACUGUUAUUAUUAAAGUUUUUCACUGC
rnacentral:antisense_RNA from 1 species